rnacentral:sRNA from 1 species
GGAUCAGUCGCUCGGGAAGGGAGAAGCCGGAACGAAGGCGGAGGGCAGGAGGUACGCAUGCGUAGGGAGGGCACGCGGUCUCUCCGCCCCUUACACCAGGGGGACCAGAACGGAAGCCCUAAGUGACGUUAGUCAUUGUGUUAGAGGGUCUCAGCAUGUAGCCCUGCCUGGAAAUCCUGCCUGAGUCUAAAGUGCUAGUUGACAGGUGUGAGUCCAUAACUGCUCCUGUAUCUCUGUCCACAGAAAUGAAAGGAGGCCUCAUCCCAUAGCUAACUCCCACAGAGGGCAUCUGUAUGACACCCCAUUUUGGCAAACACAGCCAACCCAGCAAUGCCUCUUCCAGGAUUGAUCCCCACAAACACAGAGUGGCUUUGACACAGGAGUUAUUUAUUGCAGUGUGGUUUGUGAUAUUAAAGUAGAAAUACAUUCCAUCAAUAAAGAUCUUUCUGUUAACAUUAGUCACCUAAAUGCAUAAAACCCUGCUCUAGCUAUACAAAAAAAUGCCAGGUUGUUAACGUAAAGAUCUCCAGAAUGUAUUUUCAAAAAGCCAGAAAGAUAUAUAGAAUAUUUCCAUGUGAAUAAAAAUAUGUCAAAUUGUUUAAAUAUCAUAAAUACUUCUAGAAGGAACUGGAGGAUAAAUGAGAAGGCAAGUUUUAUUUAUUUUUGACGCAGCCCUGUCUACAUAUAACUUUGGCUGGCCUGGAAUUCACUAUGUGGACCAGGCUGGACUACAAUUCACACGGUCCUGCCUCUGCCUCCUGAGUACUGGGUUCACAGGCAUUCACCACAGUCUAACCUAGAAUCUAUUUUCUUUUUUAAAAGGCUAUCUAUAAACAAAUACAUAAAUAAAAUUACAUCUUUCAGUGCA